rnacentral:misc_RNA from 1 species
GAUGAAGAACGUAGCGAAAUGCGAUACGUAAUGUGAAUUGCAGAAUUCAGUGAAUCAUCGAAUCUUUGAACGCACCUUGCACCCUUUGGUAUUCCGAAGGGUAUGCUCGUUUGAGUGUCAUUGUACUCUCACACUUCCGAUCGUUUGGAUCGGGAGCGGUGGACUUGGGUGUUGCUGCUUUACUGUGGCUCACCUUAAAUGCAUUAGUGCACCUUUCGGUUGGACAUAGUACGGCGUGAUAAGUGUCUUCGCCGGCACCUCACAGAGGGUGGCUGAUCGGGAGCUCUGUGCUUCAAACCGUCCUCGGACAACAGCUGACACCUUGACCUCAAAUCGAGUAGGACUACCCGCUGAACUUAAGCAUAUCAAUAAGCGGAGGA